rnacentral:rRNA from 1 species
UACGUAGGGGGCUAGCGUUGUCCGGAUUCAUUGGGCGUAAAGAGCACGCAGGCGGUUUGGCAAGUCGGAUGUGAAAACCCGGAGCUCAACUCCGGACCUGCAUCCGAAACUGCCCGACUAGAGGUAUGCAGGGGAGAACGGAAUUCCUGGUGUAGCGGUGAAAUGCGCAGAUAUCAGGAGGAACACCGGUGGCGAAGGCGGCAUCCCGGACCGACAUUGACGCUGAGGAGCGAAAGCUAGGGGAGCAAACGGG